rnacentral:lncRNA from 1 species
UUCUUCCAUAUAAUUCCUCGAAUGGGGCCAUACCAAUGCUAGAAUGAUAGUUGUUAUUAUAUGUAAACUCGAUCAAUGGUAGAUAGCUGUCUCAAGCACCUCCUUGUUCUAAAACACAUGCCUUCCAUAAGUCCUCAAGAGACUGGAUGGUCCUCUCAGUCUUCCUGAGGGUGAUAAGCAGAACUCAACCUCAGCCUAGUACCCAAAGCUUCCUAUAAGCUCCCCUAAAAUCUAUAUGUAAGCC